GGCAGCAGUGGGGAAUCUUCGGCAAUGGGGGGAACCCUGACCGAGCAAUGCCGCGUGAAUGAAGAAAUACUUCGGUAUGUAAAGUUCUUUUAUUUGGGAAGAACGGCUAGUGGAAAAGCUAGAGUGACGGUACCAAAUGAAUAAGCCCCGGCUAACUAUGUGCCAGCAGCCGCGGUAAUACAUAGGGGGCAAGCGUUAUCCGGAAUUAUUGGGCGUAAAGGGUGCGUAGGCGGUUAGUAAAGUUUAAGGUAUAAGCUCAUGGCUCAACCAUGGGAGGCUUUAGAAACUGGCUAACUUGAGUGCAGUAGAGGCAAGUGGAAUUCCAUGUGUAGCGGUAAAAUGCGUAAAUAUAUGGAGGAACACCAGUAGCGAAGGCGGCUUGCUGGGCUGUAACUGACGCUGAGGCACGAAAGCGUGGGGAGCAAACAGGAUUAGAUACCCUGGUAGUCCACGCCGUAAACGAUGAGUACUAAGUGU
rnacentral:rRNA from 1 species